UCAAACCCAAGACCCUAGACCUAGAGGAACUAACGCCUGAAGAUACAGAACACUGUAACAUCCCUUCUUCUUCUUCCUAAUCUCAAACACCAUACGACCCCCCCCCCCCCCCCUUGUUCCUCAUCAUCUUCUUCUAACCUAGAACAGAACUAAGACAAGAGAACAAGAAAAAUCCUAGAGCCCUAGGACCCAAAAACGAUCAGCAGCCAUCAGCACAAAAAGAAGCCAGCCGCGACCUGCUUCUUCACCUCACUUAAACGACCAUCACUCCACCAUUUCUACCACCCGAACUCACUGGGAAAAGGGACAGCAGUAGCCGCUGUUCGUUAUUAACUCGCCGGAGUUUCAGUGAUUUAAUCGUUCACCCUUUGGUUGUUGUUGUAAACCGCCGCCGACCACUCUCAACACACUCAUCUCCACCCAACUCCACCCCCACCAGAACUGGCCGGAAAUCCGGUGAAAAUGUCACCCAACCAGUCGCCGCUUACUCCGCCCAACAACCCCUCCUGGUUCUUUCACCUCACCGCCCAAAGACACACACACACUAACAGAAGCACAAAACGGGCAAGGGGGAUGGGGAAUGGACUGAUUUGAGCAUUGCAAUAACAAAGUACCAAAAAAUAUUUUACUUUCUUUUGAUUCAAUGUCAUUUUGAAAAAAAUCAAAAAUAGAAACAAAGUUGGAGUCACUUUAUUAUCGGAAGUUCAUUGCUUGAUUUUGUUUGGGUCUGAAUCCGUGUUUGCUUGAAGUUUCUGAUGCCGAUUCGAGGUCCGUUGUUGAAUUUUGGUUACUGUUCCGUUGAAGUUUCGUUAAGCGUUUUCAGAUUUCAUUUGGAAAGAAAAAGGUGUGGAUCCAUGUACCAGGACUCAAGCAUGACAGAUACUCAGGACCACUACAUUCAGGAGUUGUUUGGGGAGCUUUUUUAUGUUUUGAGUCUAUUGUUCAUGUUUUACUUUCUAGUCAUGUACAGUAGUAUUCAGUCAUUUAGUUGGUGUCAGAGCUAUCGUAGUAUAGUUUAGUUUGUCGAGUCUCUCAUUAUCGUACUUCCUGUUUUGUAUUUGAAAACCGAAAAAAGUUAUAAAUGAAAAAUCCAAAAAGAUUUUUGUGUCUUA